rnacentral:lncRNA from 1 species
UUUUCUCCUCGUCUCUUUUGAUAUUUGUUUCUGUUGAUGUUGGAAAAUCACCAUUGUAUUGGUCAUUCGCUGAUUAGUUAUUGUUGGAUUGAUGUUGCUUUGACAUGAAGUACAUGUUCUUAAUCGCUUUCAUGGGUUAGUCGUAAUAUUGUUUUAAGGCUCUGCCAAAUUCUAUCUAGUAUGGUUGUUUCUGCCUUUUUUUGCUCGAAUACGUUUUGACGUCCCAUUUCUUGAAACUAGUUCUUGAGUGUUAUCAAAUCUGUGUUGUUUCGUCCAUGUUCAGCACCAGUUAUGCUAUAUUUAAGGUCAUCACUGCUAAAUAUUGCUCUUUUAUAGGUUAGUUUUUUUUUUUAAAAAAAGGGUCAAUUUAUGUGGUUGAUAUAUAUGGUAUAGUCGCGUGCUUGUUUUAAUCGCUUAGUUUUUCCCAUCUUUUGAAUGUCUUUGUUGUCUUACUGCAUAAUGUAAUAUGUUUACACCAAGCUUUGUCUCCAAACAAUCUGAUUUCCAGCCGAAAAUGUCACAUUUCCACUCGACUCGGCAACAUUCUUUCUUCUCUGUAUGAUUUUUGUUUUUGUUCUUUACCUUGUACAUUCCUGCUGUUUCAGCAUAGUGUAGGGUCUUAGCAUCUCUGUUUUGAUCUGGGCAUUUUUAUCUAGGUACUUGUUUACUUAUUUUGGUCUUAGUCCUAGUAUAAUGGUUGGAUGAGAUCUUCUGUUAGCGAAAAUCGUACUCGGGUCAACCUCAUUUUAGAUAGAUAAGUUUCAUAAGGUGUGGGAUCUUGUUUCAUUGUUCUUUACAGAUUUCAGCUUAGCUUCGUUUCCUAUAAAUUUGUUGCCUUAAGUUCGUACCUCAUUAGUAUGGUCUUCUUAUUAAAUGAAGCUC